rnacentral:tRNA from 1 species
GAGGGUCUAGCUCAGUGGUAGAGCAUGUGCUUAGCACGCACGAGGUCCUGGGUCCCCAGUGCCUCCA